rnacentral:piRNA from 1 species
UGUGAACUGUGCUACCUAACUUUGUCAUC